UACAGAGGUCUCAAGCGUUGUUCGGAUUCAUUGGGCGUAAAGGGCGCGUAGGCGGCGGGGUAAGUCGGAUGUGAAAUCUCAGGGCUCAACCCUGAAACUGCAUUCGAUACUGCUCUGCUUGAGGACUGGAGAGGAGACUGGAAUUCACGGUGUAGCAGUGAAAUGCGUAGAGAUCGUGAGGAAGACCAGUGGCGAAGGCGGGUCUCUGGACAGUUCCUGACGCUGAGGCGCGAAGGCCAGGGGAGCAAACGGG
rnacentral:rRNA from 1 species